GCAUUUCAGUUACCUUUUAUUUCUUUCUGCCUCUUUCAGUUUGCAGCACUACUCUAUGGGUCGGCCAAGUGGACAAGAAAGCCACCCAACAAGAUCUUACUAAUCUCUUCGAAGAGUUUGGCCAGAUUGAAUCGAUCAAUAUGAUUCCUCCCAGAGGCUGUGCUUACAUCUGUAUGGUUCAUCGUCAGGAUGCAUACCGCGCCCUUCAGAAACUGAGCACAGGCUCCUACAAAAUCGGUUCAAAGGUCAUCAAAAUUGCUUGGGCCCUCAAUAAAGGGGUGAAACAGGAG